GGUGCCUUAUUUUGAUACUGUUGAUUAACUUAAUGUCAUAAUGUCUAUAAAAGUGUUGCUUUGAGAACAGUAAUUACUAUUUAGAAAACUACACUUGUAAAUACUAAGUGCAGAUUAAGUCUUGUGGAAUCGAAAAGAGAUACUGGUGUUGUUUGAGGUUAUACUGUAUGUUAGUAGAUGUAUGGAAAUGACGUUCCAAAGACUGAACUGAGCCUCAAGAUAUUUUGGUUUGUAGGCCUGAUAACUUUUUCUAAAUUUGAUCUUUUUUAAUUUCUCUAGCAACUUUUUGCUCGGUCCCUAUAACUCUAUUAAGCCUUGACAUUGCUGGAGAGCACAAUAUAGAACUGGAAGUAAUAAAUUAAACUCCGUAAAUUGGCAAGGGACCUUUUGUUGAGUUGGUUGAGUCAUAAAUAACCCAGUCAUUGUAAGUACAUGGCAUUGAUACUGGGGACCAAACUUAAUAUAAAGGUAGGAUAUGGUACCUAUUUUGAAGCAUCAGUUAAAUGUUGGUCCAGUUGCUUAUGUGCACUAAGGGCCAAAUCUCAAAGCAUCCUGGCAACAAGCUGCUCCUCCAGCCAUAUUGCUCAUGAAAUGGAA